GGGGAAUAUUGGACAAUGGGGGGAACCCUGAUCCAGCCAUGCCGCGUGUGUGAAGAAGGCCUUAUGGUUGUAAAGCACUUUAAGCGAGGAGGAGGCUCUUUUGGUUAAUACCCAAGAUGAGUGGACGUUACUCGCAGAAUAAGCACCGGCUAACUCUGUGCCAGCAGCCGCGGUAAUACAGAGGGUGCGAGCGUUAAUCGGAUUUACUGGGCGUAAAGCGUGCGUAGGCGGUUUAUCAAGUCAGGGGUGAAAGGCUACGGCUCAACCGUAGUGAGCCUCUGAAACUGGUGAACUUGAGUGUAGGAGAGGAAAGUGGAAUUCCCAGUGUAGCGGUGAAAUGCGUAGAUAUUGGGAGGAACACCAGUGGCGAAGGCGACUUUCUGGACUACAACUGACGCUGAGGCACGAAAGCGUGGGGAGCAAACA
rnacentral:rRNA from 1 species